UCCUCUAUCUCCUCCUCGGGCUCAUCGGGCUCAGCCUCAAAGCCCGGUGGGGAGGGAGGA
rnacentral:pre_miRNA from 1 species